UAGGGAAUAUUGGACAAUGGGGGAAACCCUGAUCCAGCAACGCCGCGUGGGCGAUGAAGCAUCUUGGUGUGUAAAGCCCUGUCAGUGGGGACGAAACGUCGGAGGUGGGAAUAACUCCGGCUUGACUGUACCCGCAGAGGAAGUUCCGGCCAACUCCGUGCCAGCAGCCGCGGUAAUACGGGGGGAACGAGCGUUGUUCGGAUUUACUGGGCGUAAAGGGCACGCAGGCGGGGAUGCAAGUCAGAUGUGAAAACCCGAAGCUUAACUCCGGGCCGGCAUUUGAUACUGCAUCUCUUGAGUACGGGGAGAGGAUGAUAGAAUUCUUGGUGUAGCGGUGAAAUGCGUAGAUAUCAAGAGGAAUACCGGUGGCGAAGGCGGUCAUCUGGCCCGAUACUGACGCUCAGGUGCGAAGGCCGGGGGAGCAAACAGGUUAGAUACCC
rnacentral:rRNA from 1 species